rnacentral:rRNA from 1 species
AGUCGAACGGCAGCACGGACUUUGGUCCAGGAAGUGAGUGCGAACGGGUGAGUAAUGUAUCGGAACGCCUAGUAGCGGGGGAUAACUACGCGAAAGCGUAGCUAAUACCGCAUACGCCUCUGGGGAAAGCGGGGACCUUUCGGGCCUCGCACUAUUAGAGCGGCCGAUAUCGGAUUAGCGAAGUUGUGGGGUAACGGCUCACCGUUUAAGGCGACGAUCCGUAGCUGGUUUGAGAGGACUUCACCAGCCACACUGGGACUGGAGAUACGCCCAGACUUACGGGAGGCAGUGGGGAAUUUCAGAUAAUGGGGAAACUGAUCCAGCCAUCUCAUGUGUGCGAUGAAGGCCUUCGGGUUGUAAAGCACUUUUGGCAGGAAAGAAACGGCACGGAUAAUAAUUUCGUGCAACUGACGGUACCUGCAGAAUAAGCACCGGCUAACUACGCCACAGCAGCCGCGGUAAUACGUAGGGGUAAGCGUUAAUCGGAAUUAUCAGCGUAAAGCGUGCGCAGGCGGUUCGAAAGGAAAGAUGUGUGAAACUCCAGAGCUUAACUUUGGAACUGCAUUUUUAACUACCGAGCUAGAGUGUGUCAGAGGAGGUGGAAUUCGUGCGUGUAGCAGGAAUGUAGAUACGGCGUGAGGAACACCGAUGGCGAAGGUAGCCUUCGGGAUAACACUGACGUCAUGCGUCGAAAGCGUGGGGAUAAACACAGGAUUAGAUACCCUGGUAGUCCACGCCCUAAACGAUAUUAAUCAGCGUUGGGGCCUUCGGGCUUGGCGCAGCUAACGCGUGAAGUUGACCGCCUGAGAAGGUCGCAAGAUUAAACUCAAAGGAAUUGACGGGGACCCGCACAAGCGGUGGAUGAUGUGGAUUAAUUGAUGCAACGCGAAAACCUUACCUACCCUUGACAUGUCUGAAUCCCGUGAGAUUUGGGAGUGUCGCAAGAGAACCGGAACACAGGUGCUGUAUGGCUGUCGUCAGUUUCGUGUCGAGAUGUUGGGUUAAGUCCCGCAACGAGCGCAACCCCUUUGUCAGCCAGUUGCUACGAAAGGGCACUCCCAUCGAGACUGGAACAUGACAAACCGAGGAAGGUGGGGAUGACGUCAAGUCCUCGGCGGCCUUAUGGUAGGCUUCACACGUCAUAACAGUCGGGACAGAGGUCGCCAACCCGCGAGGGGGAGCCAAUCCCAGAAACCCGAUCGUAGUCCGGAUCGCAGUCUGCAACUCGACUGCGUGAAGUCGGAAUCGCUAGUAAUCGCAACAUCAGAGAAGUCGCGGUGAAUACGUUCAAGGUCUGUACACACCGCCCGUCACACCAUGGGAGUGGUUUGCUUAGGCGUAGUUAGCCUAACCAAAGAGUAGCGAUUAACACAGGUAGAUUCAUGACUGGGGGUGAAGUCGUAACAAGGUAG